rnacentral:rRNA from 1 species
UACGAAGGGGGCUAGCGGUGUUCGGAAUUACUGGGCGUAAAGCGCGUGUAGGCGGGCCGUUAAGUCGGGGGUGAAAGCCCAGAGCUCAACUCUGGAACUGCCUUCGAUACUGGCGGCCUGGAGCAUGAUAGAGGCGAGUGGAAUUGCGAGUGUAGAGGUGAAAUUCGUAGAUAUUCGCAGGAACACCAGUGGCGAAGGCGACUCGCUGGAUCAUUGCUGACGCUGAGACGCGAAAGCUAGGGGAGCAAACGGG